UCUAAUAUGGCAGAAUAGUGCGGUGAAUUUAAGCUUCACACAUAAAAUUUAACUUUUUUUUAGAA
rnacentral:tRNA from 1 species